UGGUGGCUUUAGAUAUAUGGACUCCUUCGU
rnacentral:piRNA from 1 species